CCCACCCCUCUCCCUUUACCCCUGCCCCUCCUCCUCACCCUACUUCUUCCCCCACCUUCAUGGGCCUUGGGCCCAGAUAGGCCCCCCCUGCUCCUAGGACAUCUGCCCCCAACCAGCCCUCACCAGGCCUGAUGAUUCCCACACUCCAUCAUGGAAGCCUCGCGUCCCUCCCAGAACUCCUGGGAAGGUGAUGUCCAGCAUCCUGGUGACAUGGUGAACACGGGGGGCACUGGAUGAUGACCAGCAGGCACACAACCAGGAGGGGCACUUCCCUCAGUAUUACUAAUUACAGUAGUUACUGCUCUACGCCAGUCCAUAAUGCCUCACACUUUCAGAAGCUGUUGGGAUCUUUGGUGUGACAGUUAUCAGUUUGUUGCCUCUCAACCCCAAAUCUACCCUUCAUUACCUGCUCCGCAGUAGUAAGAUAGCUCUUUGAAGCAUUUCUCACUUGCAUCGAGAACAAUAUUGAGCCAUGGCAGUAGAUGGCGCUGGAGGGACGCAGCAGGAGGAAGAAACUUCCCUUGCGGGACCCAGCGGGCUUCUGUUUGCUUCAGCUCCUCUGACUGCACCUGCUACCAGAGAUGAACGCAUGGGCACAUCCUCUGCUCUGCCCCAGCUAUGCAUCCAGAUGUGGGCUCACGGCCUCAGGCCUAGCCCAGUGCCCACUUCACUACGGCCCACUUCAUGGACUCUGCAAACCUCAGGCCUCACAUGCCCUGCUGGAGAACAGACCACCGACUCCCCUGGGCACCAGCCUGCCGGCCUCAGCCCACCGGCUCCCGGCGGGAGUGUUUCCAGGGGCCAUCCAGACACGGGCACAAGCACCCCAGGCCUUCACCACUCUGCUUGUAAGUAGGUUCCUGACUUGGACUCUCCCAGGGCACUCCCUGCCAGCCUCUGCCACCAGCAACCCAGAGGGACAUUUGAUGCUGACCUGGAGACCAUCGGCCAGGCCUUGCACAUUUUUCAACAAGGUGUGAAUCCCAGCUUGAAGGAGAGGACCCUCUUCCCAUCUGCUCCCUCUUUGGAUACUCUCCUGCCUUAGAAGGUUCUGUACAGUUCUCUUAGGGUUAUUCCACUGCUAAGGUAAUAAUUUUUAUGAUUAAAUUUUCCGUAUUCAAAUUAC